rnacentral:rRNA from 1 species
UACGUAGGGGGCAAGCGUUGUCCGGAAUCAUUGGGCGUAAAGAGCGUGUAGGCGGCCCGGUAAGUCCGCUGUGAAAGUCCAGGGCUCAACCCUGGGAUGCCGGUGGAUACUGUCGGGCUCGAGUCCGGAAGAGGAGAGUGGAAUUCCUGGUGUAGCGGUGAAAUGCGCAGAUAUCAGGAAGAACACCCGUGGCGAAGGCGGCUCUCUGGGACGGUACUGACGCUGAGACGCGAAAGCGUGGGGAGCGAACAGG